rnacentral:rRNA from 1 species
UACGUAGGCAGCGAGCGUUGUUCGGAAUUACUGGGCGUAAAGAGUGUGUAGGCGGUGCUCUAAGUUCGGUGUGAAAUCUCCUGGCUCAACUGGGAGGGUGCGCCGGAAACUGGAGUGCUUGAGCGUGGGAGAGGAAAGCGGAAUUCCUGGUGUAGCGGUGAAAUGCGUAGAUAUCAGGAGGAACACCUGUGGUGUAGACGGCUUUCUGGACCAUAGCUGACGCUGAGGCGCGAAAGCGUGGGGAGCAAACGGG